rnacentral:rRNA from 1 species
GACGAACGCUGGCGGCGUGCCUAAUACAUGCAAGUAGAACGCUGAAGGAGGAGCUUGCUUCUCUGGAUGAGUUGCGAACGGGUGAGUAACGCGUAGGUAACCUGCCUGGUAGCGGGGGAUAACUAUUGGAAACGAUAGCUAAUACCGCAUAAGAGUAGAUGUUGCAUGACAUUUGCUUAAAAGGUGCAAUUGCAUCACUACCAGAUGGACCUGCGUUGUAUUAGCUAGUUGGUGAGGUAACGGCUCACCAAGGCAACGAUACAUAGCCGACCUGAGAGGGUGAUCGGCCACACUGGGACUGAGACACGGCCCAGACUCCUACGGGAGGCAGCAGUAGGGAAUCUUCGGCAAUAGACGGAAGUCUGACCGAGCAACGCCGCGUGAGUGAAGAAGGGUUUCGGAUCGUAAAGCUCUGUUGUAAGAGAAGAACGAGUGUGAGAGUGGAAAGUUCACACUGUGACGGUAUCUUACCAGAAAGGGACGGCUAACUACGUG